GACGAACGCUGGCGGCGUGCUUAACACAUGCAAGUCGAGCGGUAAGGCCCUUUCGGGGGUACGACGAGCGGCGAACGGGUGAGUAACACGUGGGUGACCUGCCCUCAGCUCUGGGAUAAGCCUGGGAAACCGGGUCUAAUACUGGAUAUGACUCCAUGACGCAUGUUGUGGGGUGGAAAGCCUUGUGCGGCUGAGGAUGGGCCCGCGGCUUAUCAGCUUGUUGGUGGGGUGAGGCCUACCAAGGCGACGACGGGUAGCCGGCCUGAGAGGGCGACCGGCCACACUGGGACUGAGACACGGCCCAGACUCCUACGGGAGGCAGCAGUGGGGAAUCUUGCGCAAUGGGCGAAAGCCUGACGCAGCGACGCCGCGUGAGGGAUGACGG
rnacentral:rRNA from 1 species